rnacentral:rRNA from 1 species
GACAGAGGGCGCAAGCGUUUGUUCGGAAUUACUGGGCGUAAAGCGCACGCAGGUGGCUGAGUCAGUCGAUUGUGAAAGCCCUGGGCUUAACCUGGGAAUUGCAGUCGAUACUACUCAGCUAGAGUAUGGGAGAGGGUAGUGGAAUUCCCGGUGUAGCGGUGAAAUGCGUAGAAUAUCGGGAGGAACAUCAGUGGCGAAGGCGGCUACCUGGCCCAAUACUGACGCUGAGAUACGAAAGCGUGGGGAUCAAACAGG